AUGGGGUUUUGGGGUCCCUGUGGGGUUUGGGGUCCCUGUGGGUUUUUGCGGUCCCUGUGGGUUUUGGGGUCCCUAUGGGUUUUGGGAUCCCUGUGGGUUUUUGGGGUCCCUGUGGGUUUUGGGGAUCCCUGUGGGUUUUUGGGGUCCCUGUGGGUUUUGGGGUCCCUAUGGGUUUUUAGGGUCCCUGUGGGUUUUGGGGUCCCUAUGGUUUUUGGGAUCCCUGUGGUUUUUGGGGUCCCUAUGGGGUUUUGGGGUCCCUGUGGUUUUUGGGAUCCCUAUGGUUUUUGGGGUCCCUAUGGGUUUUUGGGGUCCCUGUGGGUUUUGGGGUCCCUGUGGGUUUUGGGGUCCCUAUGGGUUUUUGGGGUCCCUGUGGGUUUUUGGGGUCCCUAUGGGUUUUUGGGGUCUCUGUGGGUUUUGGGGUCCCUGUGGGUUUUGGGGUCCCUAUGGGGUUUUGGGGUCCCUAUGGGUUUUUGGGGUCCCUAUGGGUUUUUGGGGUCCCUGUGGGUUUUGGGAUCUCUGUGGUUUUUGGGGUCCCUCUGGGUUUUUGGGGUCCCUGUGGGUUUUUGGGAUCCCUGUGGGUUUUGGGAUCCCUAUGGUUUUUGGGGUCCCUAUGGGUUUUUGGGGUCCCUGUGGGUUUUGGGAUCUCUGGGGUUUUUGGGGUCCCUGUGGGUUUUUGGGGUCCCUGUAGGUUUUUGGGAUCCCUCUGGGUUUUUGGGGUCCCUAUGGGCUUUUGGGGUCCUUACGGGUUUUUGGGGUCCCUGUGGUUUUUGGGGUCCCUAUGGGUUUUUGGGGUCCCUAUGGGGUUUUGGGGUCCCUGUGGGUUUUGGGCUCCCUAUGGGUUUUGGGGUCCCUGUGGGUUUUGGGGUCCCUGUGGGUUUUUGGGGUCCCUCUGGUUUUUGGGGUCCCUGUGGUUUUUGGGGUCCCUGUGGGUUUUGGGAUCCCUCUGGGUUUUUGGGGUCCCUGUGGGUUUUGGGGGGUCCCUGUGGGUUUUGGGAUCCCUAUGGGUUUUUGGGGUCCCUGUAG
rnacentral:lncRNA from 1 species